rnacentral:lncRNA from 10 species
CUCCAGCUGUGGCCUCCAAAGUAGCUAGGAAUACAGGCUGAAGUACCAUGGUGUGAUCUCAGUCUCACUGCAACCUCCGUCUCCCAGACUCAAGCGAUCAUCCCACCUCAGCCUCCCAAGUAGCUGGGACCUCAGGUGCACACCACCACGCCUGGUUAAUUUUUGGCUUUUUUUUUUUUUAAUAGGGAUGGGGGUCUCAUCAUGUUGCCCAGGCUGGUCUCGAACUGUGGCGCUCAAGCGAUCUGCCCGCCUCGGCCUUCCAGGCGUGAGCCACUGCGCCUGGCCUGAACUCUUUUAAACAACCUGCUCUUGAGUGAACUCUGAGUGAAAACCAUAAAGUGAACUCAUUACCGUGAGAAGGGCACCAAGCCAUUUAUGAUGGAUCCUCCCCCAUGACCCAAACACCUCCCACCAGACCCCACCUCCAACACCGGGGAUUACAUUUCAACAAGAGAUUUGGAGGCGACAAAACAUCCAAACCACGUCAAGUAGUUGCCCAGAGCUGGGGGAAUUUGGGGAAAAAUGGGAGUGACUGCUAGUGGGUAUAGAGUUUCCUUCUGGGGUUAUGACCUGUUCAAAAAUCGAUUAUGGUGAUGGUUACACAACUCUGUGAAUUCAUUAAAAAUGACUGAAUUGUACACUUUAUUUGGGUGAAUUCUGUGGUAUGCAAAUUUGGUAAGAAAUAAACUCAGAGACAAAAUGCUCUUUGAUUAAAUGCAAUGGAAAGUGAAACAUUUGUUUCUUCUCUGAACUUGAAACGUUAGAAGUCCACGAAAACCAAGAUUUCAAAGGAAUGGGAAAAUGUAUAUUUGGAGCCACCAACAACUGGGGACAAUACUCACUCUAGAACUUGGAUCAGAAAUGCAAUACAUUCAGACUAAUUUUUUUACUUAUUUAUUUUUUGUUUGAGACAGAGUCUUGCACUGUCACCUGGACUGGAGUGCAAUGGCAUGAUCCUGGGUCACUGCAACCUCCACCUCCCACAUUCAAGUGAUUCUCCUUGCCUCAGCCUCCCAAGUAGCUGAGAUUACAGGUGCACGCCACCAUGUCUGGCUAAUUUUUUUGUAUUUUUAGUACAGACGGGAUUUCACUAUGUUGGCCAAGCUGGUCUCCAACUCCUGACCUUGUGAUCCACCUGCCUCGGCCUCCCAAAGUGCUGGGAUUACAGGCAUAAGCCACUGUGCCCGGCCAUUCAGACUAAUUUUUAAGGCACCAUCCACAAA